UCCAUUUUGAUGAAGAAAUUCGAAGUGGAAGAACUAUAAAAUAGGGAGGAGAAGAAAAUUCAUAGAAAAAGAUUCCUAGCUCGGAUUUUGACGUUCUAUACCUUGUUUCGAAGAGCUUGACAAGGGCUGCCAUUUGAGGAGUGCACAGAAAGGUGCAGCAGAACCUUAAGGACAGGAAGUUGUGAUUGAGUUGCUGAAGUAAGCGGACAAAAAUUACUAGUACAAGUUAAAACUACAAUCUAUAACGGCGUCAACCACAAGAAGAUGGGCUCCAGCGUGCCCUUGAAGUGGGUGUCUCUGCACUCUGUUAUCAAGCUUCUGCUCUGGAUGCUGUUGAACUCAUGGAGCCCGCCUGAACAGGUCUUCCACCUUAAUGAGGUCAGCUUGUACCACCGUGUUCGUUUGCAUGGUCGUUGCCGGUAGAAAGAGACAAAUUUUGACGAAUAUUCGACUCCGAAUCAGAGUCCUCGUCAUCAUGCUCAUCUUCUACCUUCACAUCUUCCUCCAAUGGUACUAUGAAUUCCGGGGUGCCUUGGACUCUUCAAGGAUCAAUUAUUUAGGUGGUUUUUGAUUUGCAUUUAAAUGGAAUUCAUGUAAAGUGCUUAAGGAUUUUAUUAAAGGCAAACUGUUU